UACGUAGGGUGCAAGCGUUAAUCGGAAUUACUGGGCGUAAAGCGUGCGCAGGCGGUUAUAUAAGACAGGUGUGAAAUCCCCGGGCUCAACCUGGGAACUGCAUCUGUGACUGUAUAGCUAGAGUACGGUAGAGGGGGAUGGAAUUCCGCGUGUAGCAGUGAAAUGCGUAGAUAUGCGGAGGAACACCGAUGGCGAAGGCAAUCCCCUGGACCUGUACUGACGCUCAUGCACGAAGGCGUGGGGAGCAAACAGG
rnacentral:rRNA from 1 species